CUUAGAGCCUUAACUGGGUAAAAAUCUUGAAACUUGGCAGAAAAAAAAGUGAUAUUUUACCAGUGUUUUUCUGUUUGAAUUUCAAAAGAUCAGAUAUUUAUUUGUGAGAUUUAUAUGCAUUAUGCUCAAAUCAUAAAAACUUUCCUUAACUAUACAGAACUUAUACAGGCACAAUGUCAUUCACAAACAUCAAAAUCUAUUAAUUGUAUCCCAGAUUUCUCUUUUUCCCCUCAUGUGUUGUCUAUUAAAGAUGCAGAGAGUUUUUCGAAGGAAGUCUGAUGACUCUGGGAGUGGAAUUGGAAGCAACACAAUCUGUAAGUCAUUUAAUCAAACAAUUAAAUAAAACACUUUUCUUCCACACACAUCAGACUGAGAGUUCCUCACACCUGCUUUUAUAUCAGUUUCAGUUUCGUUUUUAUCUUGGUUUAUCAUUUAUAUAGACUUAUUCAAUUAUUAUUAUAAAAGAUUGUAGGCUAUUCCUUUUUCAGAAACAUUUUAAUGAAGCUAAAGUAUAUGUCUUAAAAGAAAAUUGAUUAAUACAAAUUUAAUGAAAAAUAAAAGUAAAAAUUGUAAUAGAAACAUAUAUAUUUGUAUAGGAAAUAAAAGACAAUGGGGUAUAAUAAACUGCACAUUAAAAUAUAAACCAUGCAGGACUGGAUUACAGGUGAUACUGUUGUAAAUAAUGUUCAGCUUCUUGUAGCAAUCGUUUCGCUUCAUAAGAAUUCAAAGUAUCGUCAGAAACCACAGGUUUUCAUUUUGUGUUGCCUGUAUGUGCUUUUUUUGUGAUUUUCAGGGUGACUGUAGCUACUGAUUAUGUUCUGCUGAAGAAUAAAGUGAUCUUCAAUAACAAUACAUUUGAACAAUGAGGAAAAAACACUUAAAAUAUAUUCUUUAAUGUUCCGCAGAUGAAAGAAAGUUCUGUAGGUUUGUAAUUGUUAUUUUUGGAUGAAGGAUCUCUUAAAUUGUUGCUCAAAGAUUCAAAGGUUUUGGUUCAGUCUUGUUUUUCAGCAUCAUCUGCGCUGACCAGCUCUUCCUUCUGUCUGUAGCGAUGGCUCGUGUUUUCAUAAAUCACGUCUUCUGAUGCCGGACAGUGUCGGACCUCAGCGUAUUCACUGGUCAGCGAGGCAAGGCCCAUGAUCUCUCCUGACGGCGGGUCAGCGUUUGUGAAGUCGAUGGAGGAAUAAUGAAGAGAUUCAGGUGCACUCGGUGCGGUGGAUGACAGCAUGCCUUUAUUGGUGUAAACAGACUCACUGUCAUUAUCCAGAGAAACGGCCUGAUGGAGAAGAAACGGCAAAAUGAGUGAAGAUCUGCUGAACGACUGUCUGUAAUGUCUCUGAGAAUGAAUAACUCACUGUUUGAGUCAGAAUGAAUCCAGAUGUGUCGUCUUCUCUAGUUUCUGAGGGUUUCUCUCUCCUUCUUCUGAAAAACAUGUUUUCAGAUCUUUGAAAAAUUGAUGCUUGUAUAAAAUGUAAAUGAGAUUUAUAAAUCCUCCUUGUGAUGAAACUGAAAGCAGGUGAAGUCUCAUCAGAGCAAUGUGUAAACCAGGAUUAUCAUAUUUAACUAAAACUACAACCAAAACCAUAAAAAAAUGUUUUGUUAACUCUAUGUUUUAUUUCAGCAGGUUUCUGAGUAAACAAUUUGACUUAGUUUAAACUGAUGUACUAAAAUAAUUAAAACUGACAUAAAAAAUGGAAACGUGAUUAAAAAUAUUGAUAAAA